AGGCCUAUAUGCAAAUAGACCAUUGCCAUAUAUGGAUCUGUGCCAUUCACUUUUUUUUCGCAUCUACUUUGAAGUAGAUGCGCUUGUUUUGAGAUCAAAGCGAGAGCUGCAUUUAGCCACCUGUGCACGUCUGAAGACUCGUGUCCUCUGCAGCAGGGCCUCGGGGCCUCAGGGCUUCCUGGAGAGAGGCGCUCGAGACCCCAACAGAUCCACAAACCGACCUCACCACACAUGAAACAGUGCCCAGAGAGUGAUGAGAGAGGUGGCACCCUGGUUCAAUCCCUGGGAGACAAAGAAAGUGACAGAUGUGUUUCUGCCUGAGCAGCAGAGGACAAGGUUCAUAUCAACGGUGAAACUAGUUUUCAGGGUCUAACUCUUGUUCUUUUCUGCGAUCUGGUUCGUUGUCCCCUGGGCGCCUGUGGCUGACAGUCUGUUCCAGACAUGUUUUUGCUUCGCUCUGCACCUGGACAGUGACAUACCGCAGGCCAGAGGGGAGGGGGAGGGGGAGCAGAGCUGCAACCCUGUGAUCCAAAUCUGUGAGCGCCUGCGGCUCACAUUCUGCAUUUGGUGUGACAGUGUGUCUUUCAGGGGCAUAGUAAACACUAAACACUUCUUCUUCAGUUGUCUAAACCCAAAUGUAUGUUUCAUGCUAUUCAGCAGAAUUAUGUUAAACCCCAACUCCCUUGUGACAAAUCACAAAUGCCAUUUAUUUACCAACAUUUUAUUUAUGAUGAUUCCUAAACAUUACUGUCUCAGGUUGAUGGUAAUCAUUGACCUGAAUGACCUCAGAUCACAUUCUACUGUAGUAUUGAUCUGAUGAUUUAAAAAAUAAAAUAAGAUGAGGUCAUUGCUGAUGGUGUAUCACUGCAUUGUAUGGGGCACAAACCAAAUUAAUACAAGGUGGAGGGGGGAGGGUGUUCACCAUUCUGGGUUUAAUCAAUCACCCCCGCAGGAAUCAGG